rnacentral:misc_RNA from 1 species
AAGAAACUCAGAACUUCAGUUGUUACAUGAGUCAUUAGCCAAGGAUUCAGAAACUAAAAUGUUGGAAGCAGUAGCGAAGUUCACCAACAAAGAAUCUGAAGCUAACUCUCUAGUGGAGAAAACUAAAGUUCUUGAAGAACAAAUAAAAGCUUAUGAGGAUCAGAUAUCUGAAACCAAUGGAAGAUCUGCAGCUUUAAAGGAAGGAUUGGAUCAGGCUU